AAGCCAUGGUGUGGGCAUUGAGCUUGGUAGCCCUUGAAUCUCUCCCAGGCUUCACUGAAGCCUUCCAAGUUCUUCUAUUGAAAGCUGGAGAUCUCAUUUCUCAGCUU
rfam:Brassica napus, WGS project CCCW01000000 data, contig: 14182